UACAGAGGUCCCAAGCGUUUGUUCGGAUUCACUGGGCGUAAAGGGUGCGUAGGCGGUCGGGUAAGUCUGAUGUGAAAUCUCACAGCUUAACUGUGAAACUGCAUUGGAUACUAUCCGGCUAGAGGAAUGGAGGGGAGACUGGAAUACUUGGUGUAGCAGUGAAAUGCGUAGAUAUCAAGUGGAACACCAGUGGCGAAGGCGAGUCUCUGGACAUUUCCUGACGCUGAGGCACGAAAGCCAGGGGAGCAAACGGGG
rnacentral:rRNA from 1 species